AAGAGACGUUGCCCUUCGGGGUAUACCUCCCACCCUUUGUUUAUUAUACCUUUGUUGCUUUGGCGGGCCCGUCCUCGGACCACCGGCUUCGCUGGUCAGUGCCCGCCAGAGGACCUAAAACUCUGUUUGUUAAUAUUGUCUGAGUACUAUAUAAUAGUUA
rnacentral:misc_RNA from 1 species